CUUAUAUAUAAAAAGAUAUACAUACAUUUGUGGGUGGACUUGUAGGUCUAAAAUAUCACUAUGUUAUUGAAAAUUCAUCUUAUUUACCUAUCAGUUCGAAUCUUCUGCACUUUUAUUUUGAGGAAUCAUAGGGUGGCUUGGGUUGGAAGGGACUUGAAGGAUCAUCAAGCUCCAAUCCCCCACCACAGGGAGAGCCACCAACCUCCACAUUUAAUAGGAAUCAUUUCUUAGCCAUGUAAUCUGGUGUGGAAGACUUUGGAAUGCUGGCAAGAUGUUGGUGCUGGUCUGGGAAUAGCUGUGCUAUCUUUGUGACAAAGAGGAUACACUUUCUCAGCAGGCUGAACAACCCCAGCUCAUACACAGGAGAUGCUCCAGACCCCUCAUCAUCUUUGUGGCCCUCCACUGGACUAUCUCCAGCAGUUUCCUCUCUUGAUCUGUGUCACCCGUAACUGGACACAGUACUCCAGAUGUAGCCUCCCCAGGGCAGAGAAGAUGGGGAGGAUCGCCUCCAUGCUCUACUGGCCAUGCUCUCCCCAGUGCACCCCGGGAUACCAUUGGUCUUCUUGGCCACCAGGGCACCCUGCUGGCUCAUGGACAACCUUUUGGCCACAGGGACAUCCAAGUCCUUCUCUGGAGAGCUCCUCUCCAGCAGGGAAUACCCAGGGAAAAAAAAGAUCGUAGAGUUUUAAAGAUGUUUCAACUUUUAGUAAUUAAGCUCUGGUGAACGUUGCAAGAAUAUUUAAUGUUGUGCUGAUCUAUCUGAGGAGGAUCUGGAGACUUACAAGGAAUUACAAGAACAUGACUUACAAAACAGAAAGCUCACAUUGUCAAAGCAUCCUCUGAAAUGCUUUCAGAUUGAGAAGGUUUUUUUUUCUGGCAUUUCAUUAGGAAUAGGCAGCAGGGAGAGUCUCCUGACAUUAAGGCAUUUUUGUUUUGUUUUGUUUUGUUCUUCACUCCCAUAGUUAAGAGUAACUUGUUGGCUUUUUUCCACCUCAUGCUCACUCUCGCAGAUGAGCAUUAGAGAGAAUUUGGAAAUGGAAGGCCUUUCUGUCUGCUGCUAGCAGGGUCAAUUCAGUGUGGCAGCUGCGAGCUGGUGACAUAGACUUAUAUUGACACAACCCACUUUUUGCUGCAGAAUCACAAAGCGAAAGCACCCGGGGCUCUUCUGCCUUUUUCAAUAAGAUACGAAUUUUUGUCUUCCUUGUAUUAAGCAGAGAUCUGUCAUCUU
rnacentral:lncRNA from 1 species